UGAACGCUGGCGGCGUGCCUCAUACAUGCAAGUCGAGCGAACAGAUAAGGAGCUUGCUCCUUUGACGUUAGCGGCGGACGGGUGAGUAACACGUGGGUAACCUACCUAUAAGACUGGGAUAACUUCGGGAAACCGGAGCUAAUACCGGAUAACAUUUGGAACCGCAUGGUUCUAAAGUGAAAGAUGGUUUUGCUAUCACUUAUAGAUGGACCCGCGCCGUAUUAGCUAGUUGGUAAGGUAACGGCUUACCAAGGCAACGAUACGUAGCCGACCUGAGAGGGUGAUCGGCCACACUGGAACUGAGACACGGUCCAGACUCCUACGGGAGGCAGCAGUAGGGAAUCUUCCGCAAUGGGCGAAAGCCUGACGGAGCAACGCCGCGUGAGUGAUGAAGGGUUUCGGCUCGUAAAACUCUGUUAUUAGGGAAGAACAAACGUGUAAGUAACUGUGCACGUCUUGACGGUACCUAAUCAGAAAGCCACGGCUAACUACGUG
rnacentral:rRNA from 1 species